UACGGGGGGGGGCAAGCGUUGUUCGGAAUUACUGGGCGUAAAGGGCUCGUAGGCGGCCAACUAAGUCAGACGUGAAAUCCCUCGGCUUAACCGGGGAACUGCGUCUGAUACUGGAUGGCUUGAGUUUGGGAGAGGGAUGCGGAAUUCCAGGUGUAGCGGUGAAAUGCGUAGAUAUCUGGAGGAACACCGGUGGCGAAGGCGGGUUGCUGGGCCGACACUGGACGCUGAUGCGCGAAAGCCAGGGGAGCGAACGGG
rnacentral:rRNA from 1 species